rnacentral:pre_miRNA from 1 species
AAUGGAAUUACUGGGUCGUAUGGUAAGUCUACAUUUAACUUUUCAAAGAGCUGUUAAACUGUUUUCCAAAGUGAUUGUACCAUUUCAAAUUCCCACCAGCAAU